GACGAACGCUGGCGGCGUGCCUAAUACAUGCAAGUAGAACGCUGAAGAGAGGAGCUUGCUCUUCUGGAUGAGUUGCGAACGGGUGAGUAACGCGUAGGUAACCUGCCUUGUAGCGGGGGAUAACUAUUGGAAACGAUAGCUAAUACCGCAUAACAAUGGAUGACACAUGUCAUUUAUUUGAAAGGGGCAAUUGCUCCACUACAAGAUGGACCUGCGUUGUAUUAGCUAGUAGGUGAGGUAACGGCUCACCUAGGCGACGAUACAUAGCCGACCUGAGAGGGUGAUCGGCCACACUGGGACUGAGACACGGCCCAGACUCCUACGGGAGGCAGCAGUAGGGAAUCUUCGGCAAUGGGGGCAACCCUGACCGAGCAACGCCGCGUGAGUGAAGAAGGUUUUCGGAUCGUAAAGCUCUGUUGUAAGCCAAGAACGAGUGUGAGAGUGGAAAGUUCACACUGUGACGGUAGCUUACCAGAAAGGGACGGCUAACUACGUGCCAGCAGCCGCGGUAAUACGUAGGUCCCGAGCGUUGUCCGGAUUUAUUGGGCGUAAAGCGAGCGCAGGCGGUUUGAUAAGUCUGAAGUUAAAGGCUGUGGCUCAACCAUAGUUCGCUUUGGAAACUGUCAAACUUGAGUGCAGAAGGGGAGAGUGGAAUUCCAUGUGUAGCGGUGAAAUGCGUAGAUAUAUGGAGGAACACCGGUGGCGAAAGCGGCUCUCUGGUCUGUAACUGACGCUGAGGCUCGAAAGCGUGGGGAGCGAACAGG
rnacentral:rRNA from 1 species